ACUGCUGCGCGUGAAAUGCGAAGAGAGUAGAGACAACAGUCCGACGGGGAGGGAGAGAAAAGGGUGAAAGAAAGAUGAGUAUAUUAAACUAUUUUCUCAAGAAGAGAAAGGUUCCAGAGGAAGAGACUCAGGUGAAGACGGAUCUCAGGAAUAUGCUGCAGGGGGAUCAUCUGGCAGCGUGCAUGCUCCUCAGCAUCAACGGACCAGCUCUUAAGGACUUCCCUUAUCAAAGAGCCUUAGAGCUCUUCUUCAAAAAGCCCCAGAAAAUGAAGUGCUCUGAGCCAGGCUGCAAACUGUGCCAUUAGAUAGACAGUGCAGUUGCAGAUGCAGUUUCAAAUGUUAAAAAAGUCUCACAGGAGACAGAAGGGCACAGUUGUAUAUAGUUUUGCUACAGCCUUUUACUUUUUGCCUCUUUGUUUACUGUUGUUGCCACAGCACUAGGAUAAAGCAAAGGCACAAGCUCUGUGGCACAGGCAGAUUGACGCCUCUUCUAGAUGCUGCUUUAAUUUGUCGUUGUGUUUGUUGUUACUGCAAGAUAGUCUUUUCAGUUAUUAUUUUCAAUUAAUGUACUGGAAACCUGAUAAUAAAUAAUGUAUUUAGAAAAACA